GAGUUUGAUCCUGGCUCAAAUUGAACGCUGGCGGCAGGCCUAACACAUGCAAGUCGAGCGCGAAAGCUCUUCGGAGUGAGUAGAGCGGCGGACGGGUGAGUAACGCGUAGGAAUCUACCCAGUAGUGGGGGACAACUUGGGGAAACUCAAGCUAAUACCGCAUACGCCCUAUGGGGGAAAGCGGGGGACCUUCGGGCCUCGUGCUAUUGGAGCUGUGCCGUUACCUUGAGAAGAAGCACCGGCUAACUCCGUGCCAGCAGCCGCGGUAAUACGGAGGGUGCGAGCGUUAAUCGGAAUUACUGGGCGUAAAGCGCGCGUAGGCGGUUUGUUAAGUCGGAUGUGAAAGCCCCGGGCUCAACCUGGGAAUUGCACCCGAUACUGGCCGACUGGAGUGCGAGAGAGGGAGGUAGAAUUCCACGUGUAGCGGUGAAAUGCGUAGAUAUGUGGAGGAAUACCGGUGGCGAAGGCGGCCUCCUGGCUCGACCCUGACGCUGAGGUGCGAAAGCGCGGGGAGCAAACAGGAUUAGAUACCCUGGUAGUC
rnacentral:rRNA from 1 species